rnacentral:rRNA from 1 species
AGCAGUCGCCGCGGGAAUACGAAGGGGGCUAGCGUUGUUCGGAAUUACUGGGCGUAAAGCACACGUAGGCGGAUAUUUAAGUCAGGGGUGAAAUCCCGCAGCUCAACUGCGGAACUGCCUUUGAUACUGGGUAUCUUGAGUAUGGAAGAGGUUAGUGGAAUUGCGAGUGUAGAGGUGAAAUUCGUAGAUAUUCGCAGGAACACCAGUGGCGAAGGCGGCUAACUGGUCCAUAACUGACGCUGAGGUGCGAAAGCGUGGGGAGCAAACAGGAUUAGAGACCCCCGUAGUCCCUGUCUCUUAUAA